UUUGAGUUGUGACUCAGUAAUCUAACCAUUCCUUCAUCGUACGCAGAAUCUCAUCCUCAUCCUCAAUGCCAAUUUCAUUCUUUUCCUUAAAUCUAGGGUUAGGAAUUCAAGAUCCAUACUCCUUCUUCUGAAUUUUUCAUUUUGAUUUUAAGCAAAGUCACAAAACCCUAAACCCCCUUUUGAUUCCGAUCGGAGAUCCAAGAAAAAGGAUGAAGAGUACGACCUGAUUGUUUUGGGAACUGGUCUAAAGGAAUUCAUUCUCAGUGGUCUUUUCUUUGUUGAUAGCCUCAAGGAUCUUCACAUGGAUAUAAAUGACUAUUAUAGAGGAGAAUCCACCUCGCUCAAUCUUAUUCAGGUCUUUUUUUUAUAUAAAAAUAUUCUUAUCCGAUUUUUUAAACUUUGAAAUGAAUGAUGAUAUGAUUUUUGUUGAUUCAGCUUUGGAAAAAAUUCAGAGGAUAUGAUAAGCCUUCUUCAUAUUUGGUUUCCAGCAAAGACUUUAAUAUUGAUAUGAACCCUAAGUUUAUUCAUUUUAGCUUAAUUGUUAUUAAUUCUUUAGGUCUAUUACUGGGUUGUAUGAUAUGUUCAUGACCUGCACACAAUAGAUGCACAGUUGUUUUAUCAUAUGAUUGUCAAUAUUAUGAUACUUUGUUGUGUUAUGAAAAAUUAUAUUUAGAUGGCUAGUUCAUUUAUGGCUAAUGGCAUGUUGGUGAGGGGUCUCAUUCAUAGUAUCUCUAUUUUAAAGAUGUGGAUGGAAGUUUUGUCUUUAACAAAGCUAAGGUUCACAAGGUACCUUCAAAUGACAUGAAGUCCUUGAAGUCCCUGCUUAUGGUGAUAUUUGGAAAAGGACGUUCACACAUAGAGUUCCUUACACCUUCUUGUUUCUAUCUUCUGUCAAAGUGGUAUUUGGUUUUUAGACUAACUCAUUCUCACAAAGUUGGCUAGUAAAAGUUGAAUAGUCCAAACUUUUUAAGCUUUUAUUAGGCACUACUUUUAGUGGAUGUGAAACUUGAGUUUUUCACUGACACAUGAUAAGCAAUGAUGUCAUAAAUUGUAAACACAAGAUAUAUACCUUCACUAACUAAUUUAAGUUCUUCUAUUUCCUGUGAACCAUUAAUUUAGUUCCAACCAAAAAAUAAAAAGAAAAAUGAAGUUAAUUAAGACAUGUAAAGGUAGAACAAAAUGAAUAAUGAAAACAAAUUAGUUUUAAAACCUCAUUAAUGAUAAGAUGUCGAAGCUUGGGACUCUGUUGAUGCAUUUAUAGCAUCCACUCCCACUUCUUACUAUAUAAUUCGAAGAACGACUCAAAUCAAAGAACAGUC